rnacentral:lncRNA from 1 species
GUCCAUGUGGCUGAAUGCACCAUGCUGGUGCCCCGACGCCUGCUGCUGACCCCAGCUAGCUCUCUGCACUCCCGUCCAUACCCCAGGGACUGCCCACAGAUACAGGCAGUCUCUUGAAAGGGAAGGGGGAAAGAAAUAGGAAAUCACACUUGGGAAACUUGGAGGAAAUCAACCUUUUGAUAGUCGCCCCGAAUCUGAUGAUGAGAGAUGAAGGGAAACCGUCCUGUCAGUGGAGAGCUUAGCAAAGCCAGUGUGUGUGGGGGGGGUGUCUUGCAAUAAAUUCUGCCGGAGGAGAGCAGUGGAGCGGAGUCAGAAAUCCCCUGGGUGAGUUUUAUCUCCGAGCAGUGAAAGCUGUGCAGCGGGAGGCCGGCAAGCAGCACGUCCCCCUGUGAGCACCGCGCGGCGCGGAGGAGCUCGGAGGUCUGCUGGCAGGUCCCCGUGCCCCGCGUGGCGGUCGACUUUGAUGGCAAUCUCUCUGUUCCCCUCUUCUCUGUUCUCUCCCCUGGCUGCUCUCUGACUCUCGGUGCCCUAACGGCCUCCUUUGCCCUGCGACCUUCUGGUUUGAUCUUCAGCUGUUGCCUCUCCUCAAUUCAGUGCGGCUGGCUCCACCUCCGGUCAUAAAGAGACGCACUUUCCAGGGCGAACAAGGACAAGCAGGAAUCCAAGGUCCCCCGGGGCCCCCUGGCCCGCCAGGGCCCUCUGGACCGGCUGGACCCGAGGGAACCCCAGGACAGCCCGGGCCAAUUGGGCCGCCCGGCCGAGUGGGAGAACCGGGGAAGCCUGGCAGAGAUGGAAAGGGCUUACCUGGGCCUCCUGGACCAAAGGGAGACCCUGGGAUUCAGGGAUACCCCGGCAGAAAGGUAAGAGGGGCACUUCCAGUACUGCUGAGUGAAUUCAGCCUCACCGAUGCCUUGUGGGCUCCUCUGGAGCUCUCUGCCCAGCUCUGCUCCUGGUGGACCAGGGGCUAUGACAGGCCCACAGAUCCCAUACUGUCACCUUGAACCCUCCAGCAGUAGUGGUAUGGAUUUCUCCCUGUCUGUGUGCCUCUCUACAGCCACUUCCAGCCUGAGAUCUGGCUCUUGUGCUACCUGGAAGGGCCAAAUCCUGGCUAAGUAUAGCUCCCUGCAAUAAAGCAGGGAAAAGCUGAUCCUUUCCCUGGUCAAAUUAGCAUCUGCUAAUUAACAGCAGGGUUGAGUCAAGUCCGGAGGGUGUAAUGGAGACAGAAAGAGAGACGGGGGAAAGGCGCAGAGGGAGAUCAAAGGAGGGAAAGGGAAUGAAGGGACACUGCUGAAGAGAUGUCAUCAGGAGAUGGGGAAGGUGAACGCUCCCAGCGGGCAGGAGUCCCGUGUCCCGUGUUCUCCAUGCGCUGCUUUAUGGGUGCUCUGUGAGCAAAAUGGCAAGACCUUAGAGCUUUUUAAUUAGUCCUGUAUAAACUGAGAAGUUUUUGUUCUGUCAGGAAGUGGAAAUUAUAGCCCCCGCGGCCCACAGCCCACUCCUGCAGACAGAUGCAAUUUAUUGCCUCCUGUCCCAGUGAACCGUCGGUUUUUCCAUUAAGGGCCCAUCCUGUUCUGAGGGCGCCGGGCGGGCAGUGAGGGGGUCCCUGCAACGACCUCGCGGUGAGGGCCUCUGCCACGAGCCCCUCCUACGUGAAACAACGUGUCUGGCUAAUUUACUUGCUGAGCUAAGAGCCCGCGCUCUGGCUGGAGGAACGAGCCCAAGGCUGCGACCUUUCCCUGGGAAAGGUGGAAGGAAUGGGUGAAAGGAGGGGAGAAAAUCCUCCCCGGUGAGUGGGUCGAGGAAAGGGAAAACA